CAAACACUGACUUAGCAGUUAAAGUAAUAAUAAUAAAUAAAAUAAUAGUGUGGUUCAAAGUAUGACGUGAUACAUAAGUACAGAGUCACGUAAAAUGGUAGACUAAUAUGUCUAGGUGAGCCAUCAAUCUUUCGUUUGUGCAUUGGGGUCUAUUAAGGGGUAUUUUGAGGGGUAGAAAGAAGGGAGGGGUUUACUAUAGAACCCUAUGGGAUUUUAUUUUCUAAAAUUUUCAAAUGAAUAUAACUUGAAAACUGUAAGUGAUAGAUACAUGCAGUCUUCAGAAAUGAUUAUAGGACAAUAAAACAAAUCACAUGAAAUAUAGGGGGAGUCCCUGGGAGUUCAUCCCAACCCCCUUCAAUUUGAGAAUAUGAUUAUAUCUUGUAACCGAUCCAGAUCCCCACCCCUAAACCAUAUAUAUUCCUGAUUGGGACAAUAAAACAAAUCAAAUGCAAUUAAAGGGAGGUCCCCGGGGGUCAUCCCCACCCCGUUCAAUUUCAUAAUGUGCUAUUAUCUUGUAAACGGUCCAGAUCCCCACCCUAAACCAUAUAUAUUCUUGUAGGGGACAAUAAAACAAAUGAAAUGAAAUUAAAGGAAGUCCCUAGGGGGUCACCCACCCCC
rnacentral:lncRNA from 1 species